AUCAAUCAGGGAUACCCAUGCUGGACUUCGAAUAAAGAUUAAACUCCAGGUCUGAGAGCCAGAUAACAGCCCUCCUCAAGAUAACCAGUCAAGUUUGGCACUGCAGGCCCUGAGCCAUUUUGGUCCACCCUGCUUUGACCCCACCCCUUGUCCACAUCAGCUCCUGUGAAGCCACCCCAGAAGAAAACCACUAUUCGUUCACAUUGGCUGAUUGAUGCUCCAUACGUCCAAACCUUCCAGUCCUCAAGAAACAAGUAUGGCUGAGUUCUGGGUAAAAGUGGAGAACAUGACCCUCUCCUCACUCUGUGCCAUGUUUUAUAUAAGAAAUAAAUUAAAAGUAUAUAAAAACACA
rnacentral:lncRNA from 10 species